GAUUAAGAACGCAGCGAAACGCGAUAUGUAAUGUGAAUUGCAGAAUUCAGUGAAUCAUCGAAUCUUUGAACGCACAUGGCGCCUUCCAGUAUCCUGGGAGGCAUGCCUGUCCGAGCGUCGUUUCAACCCUCGAGCCCCCGUGGCCCGGCGUUGGGGAUCUGCCCAGGCAGUCCCCGAAAACCAGUGGCGGACCCGUUACAGGCCCUUCCCUUGCGUAGUAGCAUUCGCCUCGCAUCGGGAGCCGGCGGGCUUCCAGCCUCUAAACCCCCAUCAAGUCCGCCCCGGCGGCACCAAGGUUGACCUCGGAUCAGGUAGGAAUACCCGCUGAACUUAAGCAUAUCAAUAAGCGGAGGA
rnacentral:misc_RNA from 1 species